rnacentral:rRNA from 1 species
GACGAACGCUGGCGGCGUGCUUAACACAUGCAAGUCGAACGAAGAGCGGUGGAAGCUUGCUUCUCUCAAUCUUAGUGGCGGACGGGUGAGUAACGCGUAAUCAACCCGCCCUUCAGAGGGGGACAACAGUUGGAAACGACUGCUAAUACCGCAUACGAUCUAAUCUUCGCAUCGAGGAUAGAUGAAAGGUGGCCUCUACAUGUAAGCUAUCACUGCAGGAGGGGAUUGCGUCUGAUUAGCUAGUCGGAGGGGUAACGGCGAACCAAGGCGAUGAUCAGUCGCCGGUCUGAGAGGAUGAACGGCCGCAUUGGGACUGAGACGCGGCCCAGACUGCUGCGGGAGGCAGCAGUGGGGAAUCUUCCGGAAUGAACGGAAGUCUGAAGGAGCAACGCCGGGUGAGUGAGGACGGGCUUCGGGUUGUAAAGCUCGGUUAAUCGGGAAGAAAGACCUUCUUGCGAAUAGUGAGAAGGAUUGACGGUACCGGAAUAGAAAGCCACGGCUAACUACGUG